GAUGAGCAUGCGUCCCAUUAGCUUGUUGGUAAGGUAACGGCUUACCAAGGCAACGAUGGGUAGGGGUCCUGAGAGGGAGAUCCCCCACACUGGUACUGAGACACGGACCAGACUCCUACGGGAGGCAGCAGUGAGGAAUAUUGGUCAAUGGGCGCAAGCCUGAACCAGCCAUGCCGCGUGCAGGAUGAAGCAUCUAUGGUGUGUAAACUGCUUUUGUACGAGAAGAAACACUCCUUCGUGAAGGAGCUUGACGGUAUCGUAAGAAUAAGGACCGGCUAACUCCGUGCCAGCAGCCGCGGUAAUACGGAGGGUCCAAGCGUUAUCCGGAAUCAUUGGGUUUAAAGGG
rnacentral:rRNA from 1 species